rnacentral:lncRNA from 1 species
AGGGUUAACACUAGGUACACACCCUGUAUGGUAGGGGUUAGAGUUAACACUAGGUACACAUCCUGUAUGGUAGGGGUUAGAGUUAACACUAGGUACACACCCUGUAUGGUAGGGGUUAGAGUUAACACUAGGUACACAUCCUGUAUGGUAGGGGUUAGGGUUAACACUAGGUACACACCCUGUAUGGUAGGGGUUAGGGUUAACACUAGGUACACACCCUGUAUGGUAGGGGUUAUAGUUAACACUAGGUACACACCCUGUAUGGUAGGGGUUAGAGUUAACACUAGGUACACACCCUGUAUGGUAGGGGUUAUAGUUAACACUAGGUACACAUCCUGUAUGGUAGGGGUUAGGGUUAACACUAGGUUAUACAUUACAUACAGUACUACUACCACU